rnacentral:rRNA from 1 species
CCUACGUGCGGCAGCAGUGAGGAAUAUUGGUCAAUGGGCGCGAGCCUGAACCAGCCAAGUAGCGUGAAGGAUGACUGCCCUACGGGUUGUAAACUUCUUUUAUAAAGGAAUAAAGUGAGGCACGUGUGCCUUUUUGUAUGUACUUUAUGAAUAAGGAUCGGCUAACUCCGUGCCAGCAGCCGCGGUAAUACGGAGGAUCCGAGCGUUAUCCGGAUUUAUUGGGUUUAAAGGGAGCGUAGAUGGGUUGUUAAGUCAGUUGUGAAAGUUUGCGGCUCAACCUUAAAAUUGCAAUUGAUACUGGCAUCCUUGAGUACAGUUGAGGUAGGAGGAAUUCGUGGUGUAGUGGUGAAAUGCUUAGAUAUCACGAAGAACUCCGAUUGCGAAGGCAGCUUACUAAACUGCCACUGACAUUGAUGCUCGAAAGUGUGGGUAUAAAACAGGAUUAGAUACCCGAGUAGUC